rnacentral:misc_RNA from 1 species
UCCGGUUUAACACCGGCAGUCUCGUUAGAGUGCCCGACUUUACUCGCUGGCAACUAACGAUAGGGGUUUCGCUCGUUAUGGGACUUAACCCGACACUUCACAGCACGAGCUGACGACAGCCAUGCAGCACCUGUGAUUGUUCCGGAUUGGAUACCGGUCCUAAGUGUUUCCACUUCGUACUUCAACCAUGUCAAGUCCAGGAUAAGGUUCUUCGCGUUGCUUCGAAUUGAGCCACAUGCUCCACCGCUUGUGUGAGCCCCCGUCAAUUCCUUUGAGUUUUAGCCUUGCGACCGUACUUCCCAGGUGGCAGACUUAACAAUUUCGCUCCGACCGCAACGGGGUGUAACCCGCUGCAAUCUAGUCUGCAUCGUUUAGGGCGUGGACUAC